AGGCUGCCAUUGAUGAUGUCCACUGUCUGAACAGCAUGGCCCCUUGAUGCCACCAGCUCUCUACUUCCACAGGAAUUCUCCAGAAACUUCCAGACAUCAAAUACAAACAUCUAACAAGAGCUUACUGUGGUCCAGGCACAGCUUAUAUAGUUAAAAAGAUCUGCAGUCUUCAGACAAGUCUGACAAGAGUCACUGCGGAGAAUGAAGGAAAGCCUUGUGACCUGGACCCGUUGAUUACCGUGUGGCUGGGGGGGGGCAAAUCACUCCCCCUUGUGUCAUCUCCCUCCUCUACCCAAGAAGGGUCUGAGUAUCUACAUGGAAGUGGGUCACAAAAGAAGGUGAUCAGAUCUAAGAAAUUUGUUUUGAGACUUUGGGACUCCGCAAACAAAGUCCCGCAUCUUUCUCUUUUUACACUGCCUUACUUACUUAGGUAAGUAUAUUUUCAAGAGAAGUUUGAAUUUAGUGUUAAGUCCCUUCCCAGCUCUUUGAUGUACAGCCUGCAUAUGUCACACAGCUGGUGGUCACCAUGGUUACCCAAGAAUGCAGCAGCUGCAGGUCCAUAAAUUUUCAGGGAAGAACCAGUCAGAACUGUUAAUAUUAUGUCAAGUUGAUGUGUCAUUUUCCAAUUUGCAUGGAUAACUGCAUUGCAGCAAAUUAAUUAAAACAGCUAAAUGUUAAUCUAA